AGAGAUAAAGGGCGAAGCUGGAGAUGGCGCUUUGUCUUAGCCGCCCCUUGGCAUUCCUUCGUUCGAGGCAACUUCAACCCAGGAAUUAUAAUCACCACACGGUAUCCUCCGAAUAUUUAGACCUUCGUAGACAAUUUUUACAGCCGGGGAGAAGAUUAUACCAGGGAGAAAGAAAGAAAGAUGUGUACAAAGAGAAAGAGAAAGAGAGAGAGAGGAAGAGAGGGAACAGGAGGAAUGAAGCAGAAUCGACCUGAACCGUGGAGAAAGAGAGAAGGGAACCAGGAGCACCUGCGCGUUCCGCCUUCGACCACAUUCUUUGUGAUUUCCUCAAGAAAAAUAGCUCGGAAUUCUCGGCUACUUUCGACUGAAUACAAUCGGAAGAAGUGAAAAUAUGUCGGAGGAAUCACGGACGCAGUUACUGUACACCGGUUCCAGGAAACAUCGUCGGAUUGGAACUUUAAGUGGAUCUUAGAGAAAUGAUGGAUUCCAGGUUAGUCUGCUCGUAAAAUCGAGACGAUACUUCCACGAGCCGCCACUUUGGACAAAAUCGUUAUUGCGGUAGAAAGAACGAGAACAAAUAAGAAAGAAUGUUGAGGUAGUUUUUUUUUUACCGGAUUUCCAAGGAUAUACAGAUUUAUCCAACUCGAAUAUUUACUGUCAAUUAUUAUGUCUGAAGAACUCUGAUAAUCUUUUUGUUUCAUGAACCGAUUGAUAUACAUAUGUAUACAUACAUGCGUGUAUACAUGUGUAUGUAUAUAUGAAGAAGUAUGUAUCAUAGGCCAUAAACUCGCGGUACAAACGAAGCCAGGGAGAUUCUAUAACUCAAAAUGAAAUGAAAAUAAAGAACAACAAAAUUGUGUUAGAGUCUUUGUCUUUGAAAGAAUCGAGUUCGAAAACAUGUCAAAUAUACGCCAAUAUAACCAAUUCCUGACUGGACAGGAGCAAGUAAUCGAACUGAAUCUUCAAAUUGAUCAAAUUCAUGCAUUAUCUAUUUGAUAAAUUUUCAUCCAUUUUGACUUCAUUUAUACCACGAAUUACAUAUUACGACAAAUACUACAUCAUCGACGACUUUCUUUGUUCUUACGAUCUGGUCCAGAGGUAUCUUUCGACCUCGUCCGAAAAGAGAUGCUGGCAAUCACGUACGAAGAGCUAUCCUGACAUGAUCGCAAUAUUAUUCAUUACGGUUCUGGGGUAUCGUAUAGUUCAUCUCGCACACAGUGGUAUGCCUAAACCGUACGUGACACAGGUAGCGAAUUUUUCGUGGACCAAAAUUUCUUCCUUUUUAGAAAUAUUUUGCACAGACUUCGUUGUCUCACUGUGCUUUCAUGACACUUUAAUUAGAGAAUGAAUACUAUACAUAUAUCCCACUAUAUACUAAAUUACACGUGUAAAUUAACAAUAAAAUUUUAAGCAGAAACCUAGAAAUCUUGAAAUGCAUACAUGCCACUUACAAAUAAUUUGCAUUUCUGUAUUAUCCCGAUUAGAAAUUUACGAACAUCUUAUUCAACUCUCAUUAUAUACGAAAUUAAAUAUGUAAGUUACCAAUGAAAUUUUAAACACAAUUUUACAAAAUGUUGAAUUCAUAUACACCACACAGAUUUACUUACAAAUAAUUUGAAUUUCUCGGCUAUUAUAACGAAAUUAUAAUGCUAUGUAUCAGGUUACAAUUAUCAAGGAAUAAAUGUAUAUAAUAAGAUUACAUUCCACUAUAGUACGAUAAAACAAUAAAUAACGAUGAUAGAAGAAAACGCCCCAGUUUCUGCGAUUGUUUUAUUAAUUUGAAUCUGUUCCCCUAUGCCACAAUGCAAACUCUCAAUGAAAUUUUAAAUUAAAAAAUUCAAACAUAUGCGAAUAUGUUAGAAAGGCUUAUAAAUAUUCAAGUAUAGCAACUAAAAGAAUGGAAUUUAUCUCUUCGAGUUAUUCGAGGUAUUUAAGCGGAUCGGAUUUCCUUCAACAUAGCAAAAACACCUGAAUUCAAUAAAAUGCAUCUUAGCAGGUUAAGAUUUCGAGCCCUUGAAUACUUGAAAUAGUUUGAGCAACUUUGGUAUACGAGAUGAAAAUGAAAAGAUGCUUGGACGAACUCUUGAAUGUCGGCUAAAGAGAUGCCUGGAUAUUAUUUGCCCUGGCACUCUGGCACACAACGGCCUACAGCGUAGCCUCGAAAAGUAUUUUGCACAGGCGAUAUUUACGCAGGACAAACACACAAAAGGCACAAGGCAACAAGAGACAAGGGGUUUUACGUUAAACGAAAGAAGAAUACAUUUCUCUUCUUCCUCACAUGUCUACCAGCGCGUACGAAAUAAACAAUGAUGCGACGCAAAAUGUAAGUCGUUAAAACGUUAAUAGCGAUUCGACGAACUGAUGGUUGUAAAGAUUAUCGAUUGCAAACAGUCUUCUUAUCGUAAUCUGUGAUUGAUCAAUAUAUUUGUAAAAGUAAGAAUCGUGCAAUUUAUAGAAUUUUUAAAUUCUAUGUAGUUUGAAAAAGGUCAUAAUUGAAAUUAUAUGAGUUAAUAACAUUAAAGGGAUAUUAAAACUAAAUAUUGAUAGAGUUAAUCUGCAACUGAUCGAUAUAUUCGUAGAUUUGAAAAAUUAAAAAUAAUUAAAUUAUUAAAAAAAAAUUAAUAUAAUGCAGAUAUAGUUUGUAAUAUGAAGGAAUAAUCACAGUUUUGUAUCAUAAAUUAAUUCUAAAUUCAUAAAGAUAAUCUACGAUUAAUCAAUGUAUUUGCAAAUUAAGAGUCAUACAAUUUAUGGGCUCAUUAAAUUCUAUUUUGCUGCGAAAUGAGAUCGUAUAGUUCAGUAAUACAAGUAUUAACCCGUCUUAUUUAAGUACAAUACUUUAUAUUUCAAUACUUUUGCACCUGUACUAAUACGUAAAAAAGAAUACUUUGUAUAGUCCGAUUGAAAUAAACAAAAUAAAACAAAGAAUGUAAUUCAAUUCAACAUAAAACAACAAAGAGUUAUACUGUGUAUAAAUA